rnacentral:rRNA from 1 species
UACGUAGGGUGCGAGCGUUGUCCGGAAUUAUUGGGCGUAAAGAGCUUGUAGGCGGUUUGUCGCGUCUGCUGUGAAAAUCCGGGGCUCAACCCCGGACUUGCAGUGGGUACGGGCAGACUGGAGUGUGGUAGGGGAGACUGGAAUUCCUGGUGUAGCGGUGGAAUGCGCAGAUAUCAGGAGGAACACCGAUGGCGAAGGCGGCUCGCUGGGCAGUGGCUGACGCUGAGGCGCGACAGCGUGGGGAGCAAACAGG